GACGACGCUGGCGGCGUGCCUAAUACAUGCAAGUCGAACGGUCUUUUCAUGGAAGCUUGCUCCACUGAGAAGAUAGUGGCGAACGGGUGAGUAACACGUGGGUAACCUGCCCAUAAGAGGGGGAUAACAUCCGGAAACGGGUGCUAAUACCGCAUAGUUUUCUUGAUCGCAUGAUUGAGAAAGGAAAGACGGCCUUUGUGCUGUCGCUUAUGGAUGGACCCGCGGCGUAUUAGUUAGUUGGUGAGGUAACGGCUCACCAAGACGAUGAUACGUAGCCGACCUGAGAGGGUGAUCGGCCACAUUGGGACUGAGACACGGCCCAAACUCCUACGGGAGGCAGCAGUAGGGAAUCUUCCGCAAUGGACGAAAGUCUGACGGAGCAACGCCGCGUGAGUGAAGAAAGGUUUUCGGAUCGUAAAACUCUGUUGUCAGAGAAGAACAAGUUGGAGAGUAACUGCUCCAGCCUUGACGGUAUCUGACCAGAAAGCCACGGCUAACUACGUGCCAGCAGCCGC
rnacentral:rRNA from 1 species